AGGAAGGAGAUUUAUUUGGAUGACUUACUUAUACGAUGUGGUCCAACUAAUCCAACAAUGGCUGGCUAUGAAUCCAAGAAUCCAGCCAGUGCACGGAUUCCUGACACCUCAGAAGAAAUGUUUGAAUUCCGAUGUUCCAUCAGGAUGCCCAUGAGGCAAAGGAAGGCACGAGGCCUGUCUAGAGAGAGGACAGACUAAAAGCAGGCAUCCGUGCAGAGGUCCCUGUGGAAUGGCUGCCAGGAAAUAUUUUGUGAAUAUUGAAAGCAAGUCCUCCUGGAGAAGAAACCUGACUUUGUGUUUCUAAUUCAUGACAGCAAGUAGGGUGUCUGAAGACCUAGUUGUAGGAGAUCAGCUGCUGUUGGGUGCCACCUUCCCUGCUUUGAAACUGACAGAAAAUGAGAUACGGAAGCAGCUUCCAGACCACAGACUUUCCUCGGCUGUCUGUUUCUUGGUCUCCAUGGGACGGCUAUUUCCAGGGCUCAUCUACCUUCAAGAGCCUCAGAAAGAAGCUGAAGUGCACGGUCGGCCCUCUCUGAUCUCGGCUGCUUGGUACCGGGACAGGGAAAGUCUU